rnacentral:rRNA from 1 species
GACGAACGCUGGCGGCGUGCUUAACACAUGCAAGUCGAACGGAAAGGCCCUGCUUUUGUGGGGUGCUCGAGUGGCGAACGGGUGAGUAACACGUGAGUAACCUGCCCUUGACUUUGGGAUAACUUCAGGAAACUGGGGCUAAUACCGGAUAGGAGCUCCUGCUGCAUGGUGGGGGUUGGAAAGUUUCGGCGGUUGGGGAUGGACUCGCGGCUUAUCAGCUUGUUGGUGGGGUAGUGGCUUACCAAGGCUUUGACGGGUAGCCGGCCUGAGAGGGUGACCGGCCACAUUGGGACUGAGAUACGGCCCAGAGUCCUGCGGGAGGGAGAAGUGGCGAAUAUUGCACAAUGGGCGGAAGCCUGAUGCAGCAACGCCGCGUGCGGGAUGACGGCCUUCGGGUUGUAAACCGCUUUCGCCUGUGACGAAGCGUGAGUGACGGUAAUGGGUAAAGAAGCACCGGCUAACUACGUG